UACGAAGGGGGCUAGCGUUGCUCGGAAUCACUGGGCGUAAAGGGUGCGUAGGCGGGUCUUUUAAGUCAGGGGUGAAAUCCUGGAGCUCAACUCCAGAACUGCCUUUGAUACUGAAGAUCUUGAGUUCGGGAGAGGUGAGUGGAACUGCGAGUGUAGAGGUGAAAUUCGUAGAUAUUAGGAAGAACACCAGUGGCGAAGGCGGCUCACUGGCCCGGUACUGACGCUGAGGCGCGAAAGCGUGGGGAGCAAACAGG
rnacentral:rRNA from 1 species